rnacentral:rRNA from 1 species
AGUGGCGGACGGGUGAGUAACGCGUGAGAAUCUAGCUCUAGGUCGGGGACAACCACUGGAAACGGUGGCUAAUACCGGAUAAGCCGUGAGGUAAAAGAUUUAUUGCCUAGAGAUGAGCUCGCGUCUGAUUAGCUAGUUGGUGUGGUAAGAGCGCACCAAGGCGACGAUCAGUAGCUGGUCUGAGAGGAUGAUCAGCCACACUGGGACUGAGACACGGCCCAGACUCCUACGGGAGGCAGCAGUGGGGAAUUUUCCGCAAUGGGCGAAAGCCUGACGGAGCAAUACCGCGUGAGGGAGGAAGGCUCUUGGGUUGUAAACCUCUUUUCUCAAGGAAUAAGAAAGUGAAGGUACUUGAGGAAUAAGCAUCGGCUAACUCCGUGCCAGCAGCCGCGGUAAUACGGAGGAUGCAAGCGUUAUCCGGAAUGAUUGGGCGUAAAGGGUCCGCAGGUGGCAUUGAAAGUCUGCUGUUAAAGAGUGAGGCUUAACCUCAUAAAAGCAGUGGAAACUACAAAGCUAGAGUGCGUUCGGGGUAGCAGGAAUUCCUGGUGUAGCGGUGAAAUGCGUAGAGAUCAGGAAGAACACCGGUGGCGAAAGCGUGCUACUAGGCCGUAACUGACACUGAGGGACGAAAGCUAGGGGAGCGAAUGGGAUUAGAUACCCCAGUAGUCCUAGCCGUAAACGAUGGAUACUAGGCGUGGCUUGUAUCGACCCGAGCCGUGCCGGAGCUAACGCGUUAAGUAUCCCGCCUGGGGAGUACGCACGCAAGUG